rnacentral:rRNA from 1 species
GAUUUUGAGAUGCUUGCAUCGAAGAUGAUUUUAACUAUAAAGUGAGUGGCGAACGGGUGAGUAACACGUGGGUAACCUGCCCAGAAGUGGGGGAUAACACCUGGAAACAGAUGCUAAUACCGCAUAACAAAAUUAACCGCAUGGUUGAUUUUUAAAAGAUGGCUUCGGCUAUCACUUCUGGAUGGACCCGCGGCGUAUUAGCUAGUUGGUGAGAUAAAGGCUCACCAAGGCAGUGAUACGUAGCCGACCUGAGAGGGUAAUCGGCCACAUUGGGACUGAGACACGGCCCAGACUCCUACGGGAGGCAGCAGUAGGGAAUCUUCCACAAUGGACGCAAGUCUGAUGGAGCAACGCCGCGUGAGUGAUGAAGGCUUUCGGGUCGUAAAACUCUGUUGUUGGAGAAGAACGUGUGUGAGAGUAACUGCUCAUGCAGUGACGGUAUCCAACCAGAAAGCCACGGCUAACUACGUGCCAGCAGCCGCGGUAAUACGUAGGUGGCAAGCGUUAUCCGGAUUUAUUGGGCGUAAAGCGAGCGCAGGCGGUCUUUUAAGUCUAAUGUGAAAGCCUUCGGCUUAACCGAAGAAGUGCAUUGGAAACUGGGAGACUUGAGUGCAGAAGAGGAGAGUGGAA